CGGGGGGGGUAAGCGUUGUUCGGAAUUACUGGGCGUAAAGGGCUCGUAGGCGGCCAACUAAGUCAGACGUGAAAUCCCUCAGCUUAACUGGGGAACUGCGUCUGAUACUGGAUGGCUUGGAUUCGGGAGAGGAAUGCGGAAUUCCAGGUGUAGCGGUGAAAUGCGUAGAUAUCUGGAGGAACACCGGUGGCGAAGGCGGCAUUCUGGACCGACAUUGACGCUGAGGAGCGAAAGCCAGGGGAGCAAACGGGAUUAGAUACCCCGGUAGUCCUGGCCCUAAACGAUGAAUGCUUGGUGUAGCGGGUAUCGAUCCCUGCUGUGCCGAAGCUAACGCAUUAAGCAUUCCGCCUGGGGAGUACGGUCGCAAGGCUG
rnacentral:rRNA from 1 species